rnacentral:sRNA from 1 species
AUGUACCAUGCGUCCACUGCGGUUCUGAGCGCGCCGUCCGCGCCCACCUGACAGCU